CACCUGGAGACCAAGGCGGGCUUGGGGGACUGGACGGGGAAGGCCUUGACUCAUAGGGCCAGAGUGAGCUGGUGGCGGGCGGGGCUCCCGACAGACAGGAGGUAUGAGCUGGACAGUGUGGUUGAUGUCACUGGGGUCCCGGAGCCCUCCUGCCUCAUCCGUGCUGAUGGCUCGUGCCGCCAUAGGCAGCAGGGCCCAGGCAGGGCGCUGCCUCCCGUCGGAACAAGGAGGACCUGGCAUGGCCUUGGGUCCCUCCUGGGUGCCCGAGGUGAGAUAUGGGUGCUGCUGGCGGUGUCCCCUGCCGCCCUGAUCGCUGUCUACACUAUCCUGCUGCUCCUGUUCUGCACGUCCCAGGCGGCUACCUGCACUGAGGCCCCUCCGGCCAGCCUGGACCCAGUCAUGCUGCUUUCUUUUUUCUUGGUCAUGGGACCCUGGGUCUGGCUCGGCAGUUGUUCUGUUUCCCUCCUUUAAGAGUCCUGGGGGUGGGCUGGGGAGCAGCAUUGGCUGGCUGUGCCCAGAGCUCUGGAAUCCGUGAAAUUGUGUAUCUUGUUUCACAUCUCUUCUGGAAAAGGGGGCUUCCUUGAGCCAGGCUCAGCCCUGUGACAGCCCCGUGACAGCGAAGGGAACAUUCUGUCCCCACCCCUGUCCCUGUGCCGGGCCCACAUACCCACCCACGUACUGGUGCCCGGCGCCCCUGGGCACCCAGAGCCCCCCAGAUAGGCCCAUGGAGGAGGUGGACGAGCUGCUCCCCCAAAACUACUGGCCUGUGGUCUGGACUCCAGGGCCCCAUUUCUGAUGUCGUCAGGUGUGCCUGAGCCCAUCGGGGCCAGGCCUGAGGAAGUGUUUCUUGGGUAGAGGGGAUGGUGGAGAAGGCCCUGCCAUGGGAUCCUUGGGAAGGAGCCAGCCGCCCGAGGGCCAGGACAGCCUCAAGGAAAGAUGGCAGCCACUGCCCAAGAGGGGCGUGAUGGGAAUGGGUCCCAGGACAGACUCACAGCCAGACCCCGCCGGCAGCCUCUGUAUUGAACCUGAACUCAUUAAACACCACCUCUUGCUCCA